rnacentral:rRNA from 1 species
CAAUCUGCCCAGAAAGGGAGAACAACCAGCCGAAAGGUUGGCUAAAUCUCCGUAAAAUCAUAGAGUGGCAUCACUUAUUGAUCAAGUUUUUUUCUGGAUGAGCCUGCGUCUGAUUAGCUAGUUGGCGGUGUAAUGGACCACCAAGGCUACGAUCAGUAGCUGGUCUGAGAGGAUGAUCAGCCACAUUGGGACUGAGAUACGGCCCAG